CCCCAGGAUUCAGCUUUCUGGAUUUCAGCGUUUUCAGAUCUUCAGCAAUUCUGAGUUUGGCAAUUUCUGUCUCCACCACACCAAUCUUCCAGUGGGCUGCUACGGAUCUCUGAGGGACGUGAGGAGGCUUCCAGUGGCCAACCUCAGAGAGGAAGGGUUCGGAGGUUUUGCAGGUAGCCCAAGGACUGAAAUGGUUUCCAGCUUUGCCGCUGGUAUAGCCUGAAAGGAAAAGGUGAAAACCUGAAGCAGGGUGCCUCACUGAGCUGCCUGAAUGUGGCCAUUUGUAGGGUCAUUAGGUGGCUGCAGCUGCUGUUUCAAGACUUGAUUAUCUGGUUCUGUGCUGGCACAUCUCAGCAGCUCCAGUUUGCAUCUCUUGCUUCAUCUUCUGCUAUCUUGUGAGUUGGAUCGCAGCCUAUUGUCUGGAUGCCACGUGCUCCAGGAUCUCAGUGGCGGGAAGACACCAUCUUGGGAGCAUGGCCUUUUAUUUGGUAUAGAAGCUCCACAACUUUAGUGGCUGGAAGUCAUCAUCUUUGGAGCCUUUGUGUGUAGGACUUUAAAACACUGGACACUGCUUCAGCAGUUUUAUUGAGAUAUAAUUCACAUACCAUAAAAUUCACUAAUUGAAAGCCUGGGUGACAGUACCUGCAGUGGUCAAGUCCAGUUACUCCUGUGUUCCUGAGGUCUUCCUGAUACCUUUUCCAUCCCUGGCCUCCACUCCCCACCAGCCAUAUACUAAAAGAGAAAUUGGAUUCCUUUUGCUGCAACAUCAGUCAAUUUCUCACUGGAAAGUGAACAUUUGAGCUUAGAAAGUAUUACAUUGGUCAUUACCAAUGCUCCAGAGAGAGAACUGACAUAUGAGAAGGAAGAAAUAUAGGAAGAUAAUGCCAAAUGAAGGAUGGCAGAGAAGCUGAGAAGCAUUUAAUGUCACAAAAAUUAGGUCACCUGCAAAAUAAUGGGUCCAGUGUUUGAUUGCUCAAUGAUCCUGCUAUUGUAUUUAAUUCAUUCCUUAACAGAUCUUUAGAGACAAGAAUGGAAGGUGAAGGAGAGGAGACAACAAGUUUUUCAGGUGAUCCCAGCCAGAAGAAAAUAUGGUAACUUUACAGUUGAGAGCAAAUGCUAGGAGGCAGACAUCGCUGACUCAGUCACAUAGACAGCCCCUGUAAUGGCAAUUUGCAAAGUUGGGUUUUUGUACUAGGUCCAAUUGUCUUGAUAAAUAGUGGAGCUGAUGAAAACCUCCUGGCAUGGAACUUGCAGUAAUUGAAUAGAUCCCCAAGCUGGCUGCUGUCCGGGAAUAUAGUCCUGGAUGCCUGCUUGGCAGGGCCACUGGACAGGUCAUUAGGUCAGGGGGGCCUCCCUGCUCUCAGAGAGGGAGGCUACAUCCUCACUUUAAAGAAGUCUCAUUUCUCUCUUUUAUGAAAACAAUUGCAUUCAACCUUCAGAAUGUCUGGAAAUCCACUGAGCUUGGCUCGCUCUAAUUCUCUGAGCAUAGAAUAAUAGACUGUGAUUUAAUGUGAAUUUUCAUUUCUGCCUCAACAAAAUGGGUUUCCUGCAUGAAUCACCUUUAUUGUGGUUUUAUCCAGGGUCACUUAGCCACAUUAUAAAUGAUCUUUAGAGGCAUGAGAUAAAUCUUUUGCCCCUUUGAUUCACCAAUUCUAUGAACCAAAAAGCUUAAACUUAUUUAGCAAUUUAUUUCCAGAGAUGCCAUCAGGGCUUUCAUAAUUUGAUGGCAGAAGAUGAACGGUCAAUUUUGGGGUCAUCUGUGAAAUGGCUCAUUUCAUAUUCGAGAGUUCCUUGUAUUCCCUGCCCCGCCAUUUGUCUUCCCAAAUUCUGUUAGCAGAUCUUCUUCCAUCUCUGAUUUCAUGCUGAGUGUAUGGCUCUACCUUUUCAA